rnacentral:SRP_RNA from 1 species
AGUCGGUCCCCUCGCGGCGAUAAAUUACAAACCCCGCCAGGCCCGGAAGGGAGCAACGGUAGUAAUGGACUCGAGCGCCGAGGUGUGGCUGAUUUGG